AGUCGAGUGCGCGUGCCGUAGCAAUACGGUAUGGCGCACGGCGCACGGGUGCGUAACACGUGGGCAAUCUGCCCUCCGAUGGGGAAUAACCCCGCGAAAGCGGGGCUAAUUCCGCAUAACAUUCCCUGGACUCCGGUUCGGGGAUUCAAAGCAGCAAUGCGUCGGAGGAGGAGCCCGCGCCCGAUUAGCUAGUUGGUGAGGUAACGGCUCACCAAGGCUAUGAUCGGUAGCUGGUCUGAGAGGAUGGCCAGCCACACUGGAACUGAGACACGGUCCAGACUCCUACGGGAGGCAGCAGUGGGGAAUCUUGCGCAAUGGGCGAAAGCCUGACGCAGCGACGCCGCGUGGGGGAUGAAGCUUCUCGGAGUGUAAACCCCUUUCGACCGGGACGAAUGCCCGCAAGGGAGUGACGGUACCGGUAGAAGAAGCCCCGGCUAACUACGUGCCAGCAGCCGCGGUAAGACGUAGGGGGCCAGCGUUGUUCGGAAUUACUGGGUGUAAAGGGUUCGUAGGCGGUGUGGCAAGUCGGGAGUGAAAUUUCUGGGCUUAACUCAGAACCUGCUUCCGAAACUGCUGUGCUCGAGUGUGGGAGAGGCGCGUGGAAUUGCAGGUGUAGCGGUGAAAUGCGUAGAUAUCUGCAGGAACACCCGUGGCGAAAGCGGCGCGCUGGACCAUUACUGACGCUGAGGAACGA
rnacentral:rRNA from 1 species